rnacentral:rRNA from 1 species
ACGCUCGACACCUACGGGAAGCAGCAGUAGGGAAUCUUCCACAAUGGGCGCAAGCCUGAUGGAGCAACACCGCGUGAGUGAAGAAGGGUUUCGGCUCGUAAAGCUCUGUUGUUGGAGAAGAACGUGCGUGAGAGUAACUGUUCACGCAGUGACGGUAUCCAACCAGAAAGUCACGGCUAACUACGUGUCAGCAGCCGCGUAAUCUGAGCGGCUGGCAAGGC